rnacentral:misc_RNA from 1 species
CUGUGCUUGGUGUUGGACGGCUUGGUUGAGGUCCUUUAACCCCUCCUAAAAACAAUGACGGCGGCCUGUGGAACCCCCGGUACACUGAGCUUUUAACUGAGCACGUAGCGGACAAGGUGCCCGGGACCCGGUCUUCUCCUUUAACUAGGAAACUUUCUAAGGUUGACCUCGGAUCAGGUAGGAAUACGCGCUGAACUUAA